CGAGGUAACAGUAGUCGCCCCUUGCGUCCCUCCCCCUCCGGGGCGCAUCGCCCCUUGCGUGCAAAGCCCCGGCACCGCCACGAGUCUCGCCUCGCCCUGCACAGGUAAACAGCCGCUGGCCGCCGGCCGGCCGCCCUGCAGGGCAGCCCGGGGACCUGCCCCCGGCGCCACGCCCGGCGCCCCGGGGAGGCCCAGCCCGCAGGCCCCGCCGACUGGGCGCCGCGCCCUGGGAACGUGCACCGGGGCAGGCAGCCCGGCCUCACCUGGCCCCAGCGCGGAGCCGGAUCACACCUGCCUGCUGGGUGAGCCGAGGGCAUUCGCGGAAGGGAAGAGACAAGACCUGGGAAGGGACGCCUGUGGCUUAGAAAGACCCUCAGGCAGGGCCGGGCGUGGGGCGCGCUGAUAAAAAUUCCUGGAGCUGUAUUAUUCACAUCGCAGAUUUGUCCCUUUGCCUCAAUCUAAAAGGAAUGGGAAAGAACAGCCGCUGGGCUCUCAUUUGCUUCCAGCUUACACAGAUUCAACUAUCAAUUAUCCCAGAGGAGAGGCGUGCAGUGCAGGGCGUUGGGCCACGAAACUGAAAGCUGCUGGCGAGGCGCGUGGGGGAGGUCGAUUUCUGCGUCCUGCUGCCUCCACGCACAGUGAGAACCCACCCCGCCACUGCGUUCCUGUCCUCACAGGUAAAGUCAGGAUAAUAAUAUCUACCUCACGGGGGAUUCGAGGAAGUGGUGGGAGCGUAAAGCCCCGUCUGGUAGAGUGAAUACCUGAGCAAUGGCCUUCCGGUCCCGUCUUCAGCACAGCAGGACGAAAAUGUCUUCUGUUGGGAUCCCAGAGAAGAUCCAGACGCUGACACCUGCCCCUACCUCUCUACUUCUCAUCAUACCGGUCACCUGGAAGAAGGGUCCAUUCAAAGCAAAGCCUGUAGCCAAUGAGUUGUUUCUGCCAUCAAACAGUCAAGCAUAUGAGGCCCAAUAGGCAGUCCGCAGUCCUGUUAAGCCAUGCCACACAGCUUAAAAAAAGACACUGGCAAGCUCAAGUCCCGAAGUUACCAGCUGAAGGAAGAGACUUAAACCAAACCAAGGGCUUCCUAUGACAGUUCUGAAAUACCCUCUUCCCUCUUGAGUCCAUACAACUGAGAAAAUAGAACGGCCAGUCACCGUGGCUCGUGCCUGUAAUUCUGGCACUUUGGUAGGCAGAGGCAGGCAGAUCACCUGAGGUCAGGAGUUUGAGACCAGCCUGGCCAACAUGGUGAAAGCCCGUCUCUACAAAAAUACAAAAAUUAGCCGGGCAUGGUGGCGCAUGCCUGUAGUCCCAGCUACUCGGGAGGCUGAGGCAUGAGAAUUGCUUGACCCGGGAGGCGGAGGUUGCAGUGAGCUGAGAUCGUGCCACUGCACUCCAGCCUGGGUGACAGAGCGAGCCUCUGUCUCAAAAAGAAAAAACAACAACAAAAAGGGAAAACCAAAGGUAAAAUUUGAUCCACAGGACUGGCCACAUUUCUACACUGGUAAAAUCAUGGCCUUGCUGAAGCAUUGAUCAGGAAGGGAUAAGACCCAGAGAAUCCAAAUGGAGACAAAUGAGAGGAUUUGGAAAACCUGAAGUUCUCUGAAUCACCCAGUCCUCAAAGAGCCUCCUUCGUCAGCGGAAACCCUCUUCUCCAGUCUUCUGACACACUUCGUAACGACACUGCCAUUUCUUUGCAUCCUUUGCAGUCUCACUGCAAGAGCAAGCCAGUUCUCAUGCAUUACCCUCGACUGUCUCCAGAAUGGACAGUUAGAUCCCAGCACUUCAGAAAGAAGGACAAUGGCAAGCUCAAACCAGCGAGGAUCAAGAUUAGAAACCAACAUGAUUUUGGGAUUUUCCUAACUAAGGGUGCUUAAUAAAUGGGUGGAAAGGUAUCAUUUUACACUGGUCUGAUGUUGUUGAUAUACAUUGCAGAGAUUCUGGAUUGACUGUGCUAGCAGGAGAAGCUGGGAGUGACUUCUGAGCUGGACUGACCACUGGACGCCAAGUGAUUAUCCCUAAUGUAUUACAUGUCAUUUGCAACCCAAGCUGUCCGUCAUGUACUGGGCCAUCUGACACACUCAUAAAAUCCCAUUACCAACUGGAAAUGGUUUAUGUGGGACUAGCUCCUAACCAGGCACAUCAUUGCUUCAACUGAUUCAUGAGCAGAAGAGUCUUUGCUGGCAACACAUGAACUGUGAUGGAUUCAAUCACUUAGGCUUUCCAUUAUCAAUGCAGACCUGGCCCCUGGGUGCACAGGGUUAUCAGUGACCACCCCUGAAUGCCGCAACUGACCAGACUCCAGGGACACCAUGGACUACUUAGUUGCAGACUGAUGACUUUGGACCUCUUCCAUUAUGGAAAGGGCAGUGAUUUCUUUUCACUGAAACAGGCUCAUGUCUGACUUUGGAACUGACCUCUCUGCCUGUAGAUCAUCAUGGCAUGCUCUACAAAAUUGCUUCUGACAACGGAAUUCACUUUACAGUGAAAGAGGGAAAGCAGUGGGUGAUACCCUUGUCAAUGGAUCCUGUCACCCAGAAGCAGUCAUCUGUAUUCAGCUGUGACAUGAUUUAUUGAAGAUUUCAUUUCAGGACUGAGAGACGAUCAUACCUAAGGAGAUUGAAAUAUCGUCCUUUAAGAUGCUUGUUUGUUCUGAACUAGGGAACAUCACGUGGUGCCGUUUCUCCCACAGCCAGACUAAACAGGUCUGGAGGAAGGGGAAGUAGGCACGGUGCAACUUCCAUCUUACUUAAUGACUCUCACUCUCUUCAACUUUUUUUCCACCAAUUAGCGAUUUUAUUCCCAGGAAAGGAAGGUUGCACCAUUGAGGCAGCUGACCGUUGGGGUGGCUCCCUUUGGAAAGGGGAUAUAAAGUGUUUGUAUGAGUGAUGGUUCCAUUAAAGCAGACAUUUUUUAAAAAGGUGAAAUUUGGGGAAUUAGAGUGAAUAUAGAUGUUGAACAGAAAAAGAGUGAUAUAGCAAUAGUCUGGACAUGUGGGCUGGCCACCUGGAAUUUCACAUGCCAUUAGGUCAAAAAAGUGGGUUGACAAGGCUGGCUGCAGUGACUAGUCCUGGGAAAAUGCUGCUAUACCACGGGAGACAGGCCAGGGUGGAGGCUAUGAAUGAAACUCAAGUGGUUCUCUCAGGAGCCGCCUCCUCCUCCUCCUCCAGCGGUGGGAGUUAAGGGAAGACUGUUACCAUCAUGCAUAUGGGCAGGGCCUCCUUGGUCUCUGUGCCCUUAGGAAAGAGGAAUAGGGUCACGGCUAGUAGGUCACACCCCAGUCAUCUAAGGUACUGGCUGAAGACAGCAUGGACUUGGAAUGGAAACUGGAAGCGGGAAACCUAAACAUCAUCCAGGGUCUCUUCUCUAGGGCAGGAAAUGGGUGCUGUAGCUUCUACUUGUACUUCCUGUGUUGUGUGUAUCCUAUUUUAACUCAUUGCCUCUCUUUCCUCUCCCGUUAUUCGUUUUAUUGUAUAUGGGAUGAACGGUUAUGGUUAACUUUACACUUCAGCUCAAAGAUACAGAAUAAUGAGAUGGGCUUGUUAUCCCACGGAGGUGGGGUAUCCAUUACUCACAGACCUUGAGUACAGGAGUUGAAAGACAUUGGGGUAACCCCGUUGGAAAGGGAAUGAAAGAAGUUUUGAUUGUAUGAGGAAUAGCUACAUAUUUUAAGCAAGAGUUUUUUCUUUAAGUAAAACUAGAGGAAUUAGAGUAUAUGUUGAUAUUGAACAGCAAAAGAGUAAGGCUGUAAUGAACUUAAUAGACCCUUUUUUUUUUUUCUAUUUUGGCUCUGCACCAUAUGAACUCAUUCCCAAAUUUGGAAAAUCCACUAUUUUGCGAGUCUUGGGAAGGGGCAAGAUCAGCUAGUUCAUGGGCACAGGAUCUAAGCUCUGGCAGCUGGAUGUUCUGAUCUAGAACUUCGAAUGUGGAGCCAGG
rnacentral:lncRNA from 1 species